UCCUACCAGAAACCAACUGACUUCCAAACUUGGCUGUCUGAAAAAGAAUGUUCUCUGAUUGGCAUUCCUGGAAGCAGAAAGCAAGGCAGCUCAAGUUGUGUUCUGUUGCUCAGCAUGAAAAACUUCCCAGGUAUACAUAAUACAAACAAACAGCAGGAGAAGAGGGUGCAAGAAACACUUCUAUCUCCCUGUCAAGUCUUCUUUUCCAGGACUGUCUUGUAAACUUUGCAUUGCUUUAAAAAGGAAACAGGGCUUCCCUGGUGGCACAGUGGUUAAGAAUCUGCCUGCUAAUGCAGGGGACAUGGGUUCGAGCCCUGGUCUGGGAGGAUCCCACAUGCUGCAGAGCAACUAGGCCCGUGAGCCACAACUACUGAGCCUGUGCGUCUGGAGCCUGUGCUCUGCAACAAGAGAGGCCACGAUAGUGAGAGGCCCACAUACUGCGAUGAAGAGUGGCCCCCGCUUGCCACAACUAGAGAAAGCCCUUGCACAGAAACCAAGACCCAACACAGCAAAAAUAAAUAAAUUAAUUAAUAAACUCCUACCCCCAACAUCUUCUUUAAAAAAAAAAAAAAGGAAACAAAUUUUCCAACCUCUCUCCAAAAUGAUCCCAACAGAUUCAGCAAUUGUGCAUGUAUGUGGGGAGGCAACAUAUAUUUCAUACUUUUCUACAAACCUAUCCAAUACUAAAAUGACAGCUAAAUCCCAGCAAAGUAUACAA